GCGGGUAUAGCUCAGUGGUAGAGCAUAACCUUGCCAAGGUUGGUGCCGGGCGUUCGAGUCGCCUUACCCGCU
rnacentral:tRNA from 2 species